rnacentral:tRNA from 1 species
GAGGAUGUAGCUCAUUGGGAGAGCACCACGCUGAAGACGUGGGCGUAGUGGGUUCGAUUCCCACCAUCCUCA